UUCAAAACGGCUUGGUCAACGAA
rnacentral:siRNA from 1 species